AGCGAACGCUGGCGGCAUGCUUAACACAUGCAAGUCGCACGGUCAGCAAUGGCAGUGGCGGACGGGUGAGUAACGCGUAGGAAUUUAUCUAGUGGUGGGGGACAACCGUGGGAAACUACGGCUAAUACCGCAUGAUGCCUGAGGGCCAAAGGUCGCAAGACCGCCAUCUGAGGAGCCUGCGUCUGAUUAGCUAGUUGGUGGGGUAAAGGCCUACCAAGGCUGCGAUCAGUAGCUGGUCUGAGAGGAUGAUCAGCCACAUUGGGACUGAGACACGGCCCAAACUCCUACGGGAGGCAGCAGUGGGGAAUAUUGGACAAUGGGCGCAAGCCUGAUCCAGCAAUGCCGCGUGUGUGAAGAAGGUCUUCGGAUUGUAAAGCACUUUUGGCAGGGACGAUGAUGACGGUACCUGCAGAAUAAGCCCCGGCUAACUUCGUGC
rnacentral:rRNA from 1 species